CCUACGGGAGGCAGCAGUGGGGAAUAUUGCGCAAUGGGCGAAAGCCUGACGCAGCGACGCCGCGUGAGGGAUGAAGGUCUUCGGAUCGUAAACCUCUGUCAGCAGGGAAGAACGGUCACUGUGCUAAUCAGCAGUGAAUUGACGGUACCUGCAAAGGAAGCACCGGCUAACUCCGUGCCAGCAGCCGCGGUAAUACGGAGGGUGCGAGAGUUAAUCGGAAUUACUGGGCGUAAAGCGCGCGUAGGCGGUAUGUCAAGUCAAGGGUGAAAUCCCCGCGCUAAACGUGGGAACUGCCUUUGAAACUGGGAAACUGGAGUGUGUGAGAGGAUAGUGGAAUUCCAGGUGUAGGAGUGAAAUCCGUAGAUAUCUGGAGGAACAUCAGUGGCGAAGGCGACUAUCUGGAACAUAACUGACGCUGAGGAGCGAAAGCGUGGGUAGCAAACAGGAUUAGAUACCCUGGUAGUC
rnacentral:rRNA from 1 species